GUUCAAGUUACUUAAGGGCUAUUGGUGGAUGCCUUGGGAGGAGUAGACGAUGAAGGACGUAGCAGGCUGCGAUAAGUCUCGGGGAGGUGCCAAGCAACCUUUGAUCCGGGAAUGUCCGAAUGGAGAAAUCCAUCUUGUGAUGAACAAGAUACUGUGAGACUGAAUAUAUAGGUUUCAUGGAGUGAACCACGCGAACUGAAACAUCUUAGUAGCGUGAGGAAUAGAGAAAAAUUUUUAUUCCCUUAGUAGUGGCGAGCGAAAAGGGAGGAGUCUAAACUUUCGUUGUGUUAAAGCCUACUGGCGUUGCAACGAGAGGGUUAAAAGAAAUUGCAUUCUUGAACAGUAGAUCAAGUCAGGAGUCAAAAAUUAUUUUUUUAGCAGAAAGUCUCUGGAAAGAGCUACCAUAGACGGUGAUAGUCCGGUAUGCGAAAAGAAAAUAACUCUGAGCAGUUCUCUUAAGUACGGCGGGACCCGUGAAAUCCUGUCGGAAAUCGCCAGGACCAUCUGGUAAGACUAAAUACUACUUCUCACCGAUAGUGAACUAGUACCGUGAGGGAAAGGUGAAAAGUACCCCGAGAGGGGAGUGAAAUAGUACCUGAAACCAAUAGCCCGUAUAAAAGUCGGAGCCCCUCACUAAUUUUGAGGUGAUCUAUUUUUGUAAUCUGUGCAUUAAAAAGCAUUGGUUAACAUCAAGAUGAUUACGCCAGAAUUAGUGAGGGGUGACGGCGUGCCUUUUGUAGAAUGAGCCAACGAGUUAAUCUCAACAGCGAGGCUAAGAACGCUAAAUGUUCGGAGCCGUAGCGAAAGCGAGUGUGAAUAGCGCGACUUAGUUGUUGGGAUUAGACCCGAAACCGGGUGAUCUAAUUAUGGUCAGGCUGAAGCUGCCCUAAGAAGCAGUGGAGGGCCGCACCCACUUACGUUGAAAAGUGAGGGGAUGAACUGUGAUUAGCGGAGAAAUUCCAAUCGAACCCGGAGAUAGCUGGUUCUCUCCGAAAUAUAUUUAGGUAUAGCCUCAUGUGUUCCCAGAAGUGGUAGAGCUACUGAAUGGGUGUGGGCGAGAAAUCGUACUUCACCCAAUUAAACUCCGAAUACUUUUUGGUCAAAAACAUGGGAGUCAGUCUGUGGCGGCUAAGCGCCAUGGUCGAGAGGGGAAAAACCCAGACCGCCAAUUAAGGUCCCUAAAUCUCAGCUAAGUGUCAAAGGAAGUAGAGAUACAUAAACAACCAGGAGGUUGGCUUAGAAGCAGCCAUCCUUUAAAGAUAGCGUAACAGCUCACUGGUCGAUUGUAUGUCUGCGCCUAAAAUUUAUCGGGGCUCAAGCUGAGUACCGAAGUUGCGGAUUCUUUACCGGGGGCUUAGUGUGACUAUAUUAAUAGUCACUCUGGGUCUCUGGUGAAGGAUGGUAGGAGAGCGUUCUGUUCGGCUGUGAAGUUCCAGCGGAAGCUGGGGUGGAGCGGACAGAAGUGAGAAUGUUGGCACGAGUAACGUAACAACGCAGGUGAAAAACCUGCGCGCCGAAAACCUAAGGUUUCCUGGGCUAUGUUAAUCAUCUCAGGGUUAGUCGGUCCUAAGGCGAGGCCGUUUGGCGUAGUCGAUGGACAACAGGUUAAUAUUCCUGUACUACUGAUAAUUCGUCCGAAAUUGAGCGCAUUCUGCGCUAGAAAGGUCGUUUUGAUGAAAGUUGAAAUGGACAUUUGGUUGCGGACGCGUUUAGUUUAGCUAUGGGGUAACGCAGGUUGGUAGGUUAAGCGGGCAUAGGUUUACCCGUUUAAGCUUUAAGUGGGAUCUCUUUGGCAAAUCCGGGAGAUCGCUGUCUUCGGAUGGCACCGCGAGGAGUGAUGAAAAGUGUUCUGGCUUGCCAGAGCGCAAUUUGACUGAUCUAAACUGACUGGAAAAACCUCUCUGCGAGAAUUAUUAGUAUCCGUACCGCAAACCGACACAGGUAGGUAGGUCGAGUAGACUAAGGCGAUCGAGAUAACCCUCGUUAAGGAACUCGGCAAAAAAGCGUCCGUAACUUCGGGAUAAGGACUGCCUCUAAGAUUUUAGUUUUCUAGGGUCAAUGAGGUUACAACAAAAGAUUUUCAUGCGACUGUUUAGCAAAAACUUAGGUCUCUGCCAACUCGAAAGAGGAAGUAUAGGGACUGAUGCUUGCCCAAUGCCAGAAGGUCACGUGGAUUGGUUAUCCCAAUUUAUUGGGAAAAGCUGAAAAACUAAGCCCUGGUGAAUGGCGGCCGUAACUAUAACGGUCCUAAGGUAGAAUUUGCUGCCUUAGUAAAAUUUGGCUAUAUGCUGGAAACUCUGAGUAUCUCUUGGUACUCUAAGUGUAGUUCUACACUUAGAGUAACAAUCCAAUGAGUGCAGACAAUCAGCAGGAAAGAUUAGAAGUUAAUUGGAUCGUCGGGUUCACUGAUGGUGAAGGGUGUUUCUCUGUUAGUGUUUUUGGAAACAAAACUAGCUCAUUAGGAUGGCAGGUUUUUCCUGAAUUUGCUAUUACUCAAGGUGAGAAGAGUUUAAAAACACUAAGACAAAUUAAACAAUUCUUUGGUUGCGGAAAUAUAUUUGUUAAUCGAAGAAAAGAUAAUCACAGAGAACAUCUUUAUCGUUAUUGUGUAAGAUCUAUCCCAGAUCUUAUUGAUACGAUAAUACCCUUUUUCCAUAAACAGUCAUUGCGAACUUUUAAACAAAAUGAUUUUUUGUUAUUUGUUCAAGCUCUUGAUUUAAUUCAACAGCGCAAGCAUCUAACAGGAAAUGGUUUGAAAAAAAUUGCAGUGAUUGCGAGUAAGAUGAAUCGACAAUCCAUAUCGAAAUUUCUAAAAUCCUCAGAGACUAUACGCCAAACCCAAUAAUGGGAAGAUAUAGUCCGAUCUGCAUGGCGACAUGCAGCCUUGUAAAAGGUUCUGUUGUAAAACAGAAAACAUAGAUAAGCGAAAUUCCUUGUCGGGUAAGUUCCGACCCGCACGAAUAGCAUAACGAUAUGAAAACUGUCUCAACGAGGGACUCGGUGAAACUACAUUGCCGGUGAAGAUGCCGGCUAUGCGCAGCAAGACAAAAAGACCCCGUGGAGCUUUACUACAUCCUGAUACUGAAUUAAGUUUUAGUUUGUGUAGGAUAGGUGGGAGACUAAGAAGCCUCGGCGCUAGCCGAGGUGGAGUCAUCCUUGAAAUACCACCCUGAUUAUCUCUUAAUUCUAACUUGUACCGUUAUCCGGUAUGGGGACAGUGUUUGGUGGGUAGUUUAACUGGGGCGGUUGCCUCCCAAAAAGUAACGGAGGCGUUCAAAGGUUCCCUAGUAUCGAAUGGAAACCGAUACGAUAGCGCAAUAGCAUAUGGGAGCUUAACUGCAAGGCCUACAAGCCAAGCAGAUACGAAAGUAGGAUAUAGUGAUCCGACGGUUGCACAUGGGUGCGCCGAAGCUCAACGAAUAAAAGUUACCCCGGGGAUAACAGGCUUAUCAGGUCCAAGAGUCCACAUCGACGACCUGGUUUGGCACCUCGAUGUCGGCCCGUCGCAUCCUGGAGGUGAAGCAGCUUCCAAGGGUUUGGCUGUUCGCCAAUUAAAGCGGCACGCGAGCUGGGUUCAGA
rnacentral:rRNA from 1 species